rnacentral:rRNA from 1 species
AUUGAACGCUGGCGGAAUGCUUUACACAUGCAAGUCGAACGGUAACAGGUUAAGCUGACGAGUGGCGAACGGGUGAGUAAUACAUCGGAACGUGCCCAGUCGUGGGGGAUAACGUAGAGAAAUUUACGCUAAUACCGCAUACGAUCUAAGGAUGAAAGCGGGGGACCGUAAGGCCUCGCGCGAUUGGAGCGGCCGAUGUCAGAUUAGGUAGUUGGUGGGGUAAAGGCCUACCAAGCCGACGAUCUGUAGCUGGUCUGAGAGGACGACCAGCCACACUGGGACUGAGACACGGCCCAGACUCCUACGGGAGGCAGCAGUGGGGAAUUUUGGACAAUGGGCGCAAGCCUGAUCCAGCCAUUCCGCGUGCAGGAUGAAGGCCCUCGGGUUGUAGACUGCUUCUGUACAGAACGAAAAGGUCUGGGUUAAUACCCUGGGCUCAUGACGGUACUGUAAGAAUAAGCACCGGCUAACUACGUGCCAGCCGCCGCGGUAA